rnacentral:rRNA from 1 species
GACGAACGCUGGCGGCGUGCCUAAUACAUGCAAGUCGAGCGAAUGGAUGGGAGCUUGCUCCCUGAAGUUAGCGGCGGACGGGUGAGUAACACGUGGGCAACCUGCCUGUAAGACUGGGAUAACUUCGGGAAACCGGAGCUAAUACCGGAUACAUUCUUUCUUCGCCUGAAGAAAGAUGGAAAGAUGGUUUCGGCUAUCACUUACAGAUGGGCCCGCGGCGCAUUAGCUAGUUGGUGAGGUAACGGCUCACCAAGGCGACGAUGCGUAGCCGACCUGAGAGGGUGAUCGGCCACACUGGGACUGAGACACGGCCCAGACUCCUACGGGAGGCAGCAGUAGGGAAUCUUCGGCAAUGGGCGAAAGCCUGACCGAGCAACGCCGCGUGAGCGAUGAAGGCCUUCGGGUCGUAAAGCUCUGUUGUUAAGGAAGAACAAGUACGAGAGUAACUGCUCGUACCUUGACGGUACUUAACGAGAAAGCCACGGCUAACUACGUGCCAGCCGCCGCCGUAAUAC